rnacentral:rRNA from 1 species
GAUGAACGCUGGCGGCGUGCUUAACACAUGCAAGUCGAACGAAGCACUUUAUUUGAUUUCCUUCGGGACUGAUUAUUUUGUGACUGAGUGGCGGACGGGUGAGUAACGCGUGGGUAACCUGCCUUGUACAGGGGGAUAACAGUUGGAAACGGCUGCUAAUACCGCAUAAGCGCACGGCAUCGCAUGAUGCAGUGGGAAAAACUCCGGUGGUAUAAGAUGGACCCGCGUUGGAUUAGCUAGUUGGUGAGGUAACGGCCCACCAAGGCGACGAUCCAUAGCCGACCUGAGAGGGUGACCGGCCACAUUUGGACUGAGGCACGGCCCAAACUCCUACGGGAGGCAGCAGUGGGGAAUAUUGCACAAUGGGCGAAAGUCUGAUGAAGCGACGCCGCGUGAGCGAAGAAGUAUUUCGGUAUGUAAAGCUCUAUCAGCAGGGAAGAUAAUGACGGUACCUGACUAAGAAGCACCGGCUAAAUACGUG